GUCCGCGGCCAUCCUCUCAUCGCCAUCCAUCAGCAAGCAAGCAAGGAGGAGGUGCAAAAACGGUGGCACAUUUUCGCCAAAAAUCGGUGCAAUUUUCGUUCCAAACGCGCGGAAAGCGUCUCCGUUCGAUGCCCGGAACAGCCGGGUCCGGUUUUCCGUAUCGGUCCGUUUGAAUUCGAGUGCGCGAGUGAGUGAAUUUUGCGAUUAAUAUUUUUCCUGCUGCCGCUGCGGGCUGCGGGAAGAAGGAGCAAAAUAGUGUCAGAGGUGGUGGUGCGCUUGUGUGCGUGUGUGUGAGUGGGAAGAAGAGAAGUGCAGCGUCGUCAUCUUCGGAACGAAAAUAAGCGAGUUUUGAUUCCGGGCGGCUUUGGUUCGGGGCAAAUGAUUGCCGCUGGUUCCACCUUCGCUUGCUUGUAGAUUGCCGAACCGGAAGCCGAUUGCAUGUCGUUUCCGAGUAGACCGCCGCCGGCCAUCGUGCCGGCGGGGAUGCCGUACGGGAUGUCCUCGGCAAUGAUGCCGCCAACCAUCAUCCCGGCCGGAAUGCCCCCGUCGAUGAGUCAGCCACCGCCCGGGGCCCGUUCCGGAUCGUUUCGGGGACCUCCGCCCACAAUUGGAUCCCGGCCGCAGAUGUACAACAACUCCAACAAUCAUCACCACCACGACAAACGCGACCGGGGAGAUCACCAUGAUCGGAGGGGAGGCGGUGUUCAGGUUCCCAAUGCAGCUCCCACCAUGGAUGGGCCGGUGAUUACGGUUUUCAUUGGGAACAUCAGUGACCGGGCGCCGGAUCCGAUGAUCAAGAAGAUUCUGGCUUCGUGCGGAACCGUCAUCAACUGGAAGCGGGUGUCAACGUUUGGAUUCUGCGAAUAUGACGGUGCCGUGGCCGGGGCACGGGCGGUGCGCCUGCUGCAUGACCUGGAGAUCGACGGCAAGAAGCUGGUCGCCAAGGUGGACGCCAAGAACAAAGCCCUGCUGGACAACUACAAGGACGAAAGCAACGGCGCCGUCAGCGAGCAGUCGGAGAAGCUAGGCGACGACGACUCGAUGGAUCUGAUCACCCGGAUUCUGGACGAGUUCAGCGACGAUCUGAUGGGUCCGGAACCUGCGGAUGACUUCGGUGUGCCCAGGAAGGAGAAGAAACAGUUGCAGUCUGCCAAUAUAGAGGAAGGCAAGCGGGACAUCAUCAGCAAGGAGAUCGGUAAAUUCCGCAAGUAUACCGAGGAGGAAGAGAUCAAGAAGGAGAAGGAAAAGGAACGCAAGAAAGCUAAGGAGGAAAAGAAAGAGUCGGGGGAAAAGAGGAGAUCGUCCUCGCCGAAGAAGGAGAAAGAGAAGAAGUCCCGACGGCGGAGUCGGUCACGUUCGAGGGAUCGCGAACGCGAGCGGGAACGGGAGCGUGAACGCGAACGGGAAAGGGAGCGGGAACGAGAGCGUGAACGCGAAAACCGAGAACGGAUAGAGCGUGAAAAUCGCGAACGGGAGGCACGGGAUCGCGAGCGAGAGCGUGAACGCGAACGGGAGCGGGAACGUGAGAGGGAACUAAUGAAUCGUAACCCGCGGGACAUUCAGAAGGAGAAGGAAAUGGAAGAAGAGGCGAGGGACAGGCGGAAGGCUGAAAAGAAAGCCAAGGACAAGGAAGCCGCCUAUCAGGAUCGGUUGAGGAACUGGGAGGCCCGCGAAAGGCGGAAGGCCAAGGAUUACGAGAAGGAUCGGGAGAAGGACCGCUGCAAGGAGGAAGAACGAGAGAAGGAAGCUAAGAGGUUGAAAGAGUUUUUGGAGGAUUAUGAUGACGAACGGGACGAUCCGAAGUACUACAAGGGCCGUGAGUUGCAGCGACGUUUAGCUGAAAGAGUGCGAGAAGCAGAUCAAGACUCAAAGGAUCGCAACAAAGAACAGGAGGAGUUGGACGAGCUGAAGAACAAAAUCUUCGCCGGGGAGUACGAUAAUCCGACAUUAGAGUUUGAAAAGGCCAAGAAGCAGCGAGAGGAUCUGUACCGGCCGAAGAUCCUAAUCGACGUCAACCUUGAGCAGUCGCAACAGCGUGAACGGGAACUAGAACGUGAGCGUCAACGAGAGUUGGAACGGCAGCGUGACAAAGAGCGAAUCAAGGCCAACAAGGAACGGUACGUUCUGGCUCAGGCAUCCCGAGAACUGGCCGCCAUCGAUGCGGAACCUAUUGAGUCCGAUUCCAGUGGCCACGAGGACAAUACAUUCGCGUCUCCUAUCGAUCCGGGAACGAUGAACAACCAUAAUCAUGGACACCAUCCGGGUCACCAUGCCGGAUCGGAAACCCGCGAUUCAUUCGGAUUUGCCUCGGCCGGGCAGAUGAUGAUGGGAAUGGGCGCCGAGGACGAAAGCUCAAGGCACUCGAUGCGGUCGAAUUCGAAUAUGAUGUCGAUGCACAGUCCGGAGGCGAACAGCAACAGCGGAAUGAACUCCCUGCCGGAAAAACACCAGCCCAUUGCCCCGACGAUAUCGCUCAGCUUGAACGCCAACGCCAAGAAGAAGAAGCUGGAAAUGAAGGAUGUGUUCAACAGCUUGGAGGAGGAUGGCGAAGAGUCCAAUGGUCCGAAGAAGCGGAAGCUGGUUCCUUUGGACGACGAAGGCAAACCACAGAACUCAGUUCCACAGCCAGUUCCGGCCCCCGCGGUACAGCAUGCAUCUUCCAAGAGCUCUUCCAAGAGUAAGAACGCCGCUGCAGCGACCGGUGAGGAUGGUGCUGCCGGUGGUGGUGGUGGUGGUGGCGGUGGCGGCGGUAGCAGUCGAUCCGGUCGUGACGGAAUCAAAUCCCAGGAGGAGAAACGACGGCACAUCAAGAGUAUUAUCGACAAGAUACCGACCGAGAAGGCGGACCUCUUCAACUAUCCGCUGGACUGGAACGAGAUCGAUAGCACUAUCGAGAAGAAGAUCCGACCGUGGAUCAACAAGAAGAUCAUCGAGUACAUUGGCGAGCCGGAGCCAACGCUGGUGGACUUUAUCUGCUCGAAGGUUCUGGCCGGCAGUACACCGCAGGGCAUCCUGGAUGAUGUGCAGAUGGUUCUCGACGAGGAAGCCGAAGUGUUCGUGGUCAAGAUGUGGCGCUUGCUGAUCUACGAAGUCGAAGCCAAGAAGGUCGGCCUUACGAAGUAAGGCAGCACAGGAACCGGCGUCCAGCGUCUCGCUUUACUUUACUCCAGGUAUACACAUCCCGAAGUAGGUUUUGUUGCACCUUCAGUUUCUAGUGGGACAUCCGACUACUUUUUUUUUUCUUUCGUGUGAAAUGAGACACUCGUUUCCGAGUUUUGUUUUUGGAGUCCAAACACUUCAUCGAAUCCCCUUUCAUAGAACUUUGACGUAGGACUACGUCUCUGUUUUUCCGGGCUCUCAUUUUCACUCUCAGUAGGAUGUAAAUUGAACAAAAAAUGAUAUGGAAUUUAUAAUAUUAACCUAUUAUAUAUGUGUAUGCAGAAUGCAUCAUUUGACGUAUUAAUGUAGACGAUAUGAAAUCAGAAAGGAAGUUGUUAUUUGAAGCAGGACUAUCGUGGAAGGGCUCUAGUUUUACCUCUGUGAAAGACGUGUGUGUUUUUUAUCUUUUUGAAACAAAACAAAUAUCCAGAAUCAGCAUACACUUAUCCUAGCUAUCUAUCACAUCAAGAUAAUCAUUUUACUCUCUCGCACCCAGUCAGUAGAUUUACCCAAGUAAAUUUCACAUACGCAGGCAUCGAUGAACGUGUACGGUUCUGGCGAUUGGCGGCAGGGUGGUCGUUAUGCUCCUUGCCUUGGACCCCAUCCAGAAUCGCGAUCACCCACACAACCAUACUGCUACUGAUGAACGACGGCCAUUUUGCACACAUCUUGAAACUCUCGAUUGAUAUAACCAGUUGAUGGCCCCGAUCAUCGAUCUUUCAUCCUACUCGUCGUCGUUGUUGUCGUCGUCGUCGCCAUCCAUCGAAAGUGGCCACUGCUGGAGGGAGACGAUGGCACGAUCCGUCCGUGGCUUCCCACUUUUCUGAAUUGAUUUCUCCCUGGCCUUCUCGUUGCGGAUUAUUCGAGGGUCAGGUAAGUAUUAGAACUUUGAUCCGUUAAAACCUCUAGACUAGGUAUGUGUCGAAUCUGUUAUGGGCAUAAAGGUAAGAUGCCAUUCUAUAGUUUUCCUAAUAAGUCACUUUGUCUCGUUGUCGAAGUGACUGUGCCCUUACUAAUGUUUGGUUUCCUCAAUUUUGUUCAGGCUUGGCUGUGGAAACCUCCUGGUGGAAGUAUUCAUCAUUUUCGCUUGUAAGUAUGGUAGUGUCUAAGAUUCAUUAGAAAUUAGUUUGUUUCAUCUAUAACAAAACAUCGACUCUAUCAAUAACCGAGGAAAAGCAACAGUGAAUUCACAGCGCACGUUCCAUCUCAGAAGGAAACCUCCAGAAGUGAACUGGUGAGUACCUGAACAAUUGUUUAUUUUUUGCUGUUUUUCUUGCAAAACGUUCCAAUAAAUUAGCACAGACUGA